GAUGGACGCUGGCGGCGUGCCUAACACAUGCAAGUCGAACGAAGCGAUUAGGAUGAAGUUUUCGGAUGGAUUCCUGGUUGACUGAGUGGCGGACGGGUGAGUAACGCGUGGAUAACCUGCCUCACACUGGGGAUAACAGUUAGAAAUGGCUGCUAAUACCGCAUAAGCGCACAGUACCGCAUGGUACGGUGUGAAAAACCCAGGUGGUGUGAGAUGGAUCCGCGUCUGAUUAGCCAGUUGGCGGGUAACGGCCACCAAAGCGACGAUCAGUAGCCGACCUGAGAGGUGA
rnacentral:rRNA from 1 species